rnacentral:rRNA from 1 species
CCUACGGGAGGCAGCAGUGAGGAAUAUUGGUCAAUGGACGAGAGUCUGAACCAGCCAAGUAGCGUGAAGGAUGACGGCCCUAUGGUUUGUAAACUUCUUUUAUAUGGGAAUAAAACGUUCCACGUGUGGGAUUUUGUAUGUACCAUAUGAAUAAGGAUCGGCUAACUCCGUGCCAGCAGCCGCGGUAAUACGGAGGAUCCGAGCGUUAUCCGGAUUUAUUGGGUUUAAAGGGAGCGUAGGUGGAUUGUUAAGUCAGUUGUGAAAGUUUGCGGCUCAACCGUAAAAUUGCAGUUGAAACUGGCAGUCUUGAGUACAGUAGAGGUGGGCGGAAUUCGGGGUGUAGCGGUGAAAUGCUUAGAUAUCACGAAGAACUCCGAUUGCGAAGGCAGUUCACUGGACUGCAACUGACACUGAGGCUCGAAAGUGUGGGUAUCAAACAGGAUUAGAUACCCUUGUAGUC